rnacentral:rRNA from 1 species
GAUGAACGCUAGCUACAGGCUUAACACAUGCAAGUCGCGGGGCAGCAUGGGGGUUGCUUGCAAUCCCCGAUGGCGACCGGCGCACGGGUGAGUAACGCGUAUCCAACCUGCCCUUCACCACGGGAUAACCCGGCGAAAGUCGGACUAAUACCGUAUGUUGUCCAUUGACGGCAUCCGAUUUGGACGAAAGGCUUGGCGGUGAGGGAUGGGGAUGCGUCCGAUUAGCCAGACGGCGGGGUAACGGCCCACCGUGGCUACGAUCGGUAGGGGUUCUGAGAGGAAGGUCCCCCAAACUGGAACUGCGACACGGUCCAGACUCCUACGGGAGGCAGCAGUGAGGAAUAUUGGUCAAUGGGCGUAAGCCUGAACCAGCCAAGUAGCGUGCAGGAUGACGGCCCUAUGGGUUGUAAACUGCUUUUAUGCGGGGAUAAAGUGGCCCACGUGUGGGCUUUUGCAGGUACCGCAUGAAUAAGGACCGGCUAAUUCCGUG